rnacentral:lncRNA from 1 species
CGGAUAGCAGUAAAUCGCUAGGUUAAACCACCAGAAACCCUAGAAGCCGAUAGGUCACCGAAAAAUCACCCAAAAAUCGUAAAACGCUAGGUUAAACCACCAGAAACCCUAGAAGCAGAUAGGUCACCGAAAAAUCACCCAAAAAUCAUCGGAAAACCUCCCAGAACAUUCGAGUGGAGAAGAUAUACUCAGAUAUCACGAAGAAAAUCUCAGAAAAGCAUCCGAUUUAGAUCAGAAUCGUCAUCGACCAUAAGGUCUCAGAAACACCCCAAAAAAAAUCUCAAAAGAGAUUUCAACUAGAACAACGAGAUGCAGAAAAACAUAGUCGGAUCGUCGUCUAGGCUCUGAUACCAUGUAAACAUUGAGAUUAAACCGAAAAAUCAUGAGAAAUGUAGAGAGAGAAUCUAGAGAGAAGGAAGAGCAUUUGAGAACUCUCCAGAAGAUUGAGAGAGUUUAUUAAUCAGAAUAGAG